AUUGAACGCUGGCGGCAGGCUUAACACAUGCAAGUCGAGCGGAGAUGAGGUGCUUGCACCUUAUCUUAGCGGCGGACGGGUGAGUAAUGCUUAGGAAUCUGCCUAUUAGUGGGGGACAACAUUCCGAAAGGAAUGCUAAUACCGCAUACGUCCUACGGGAGAAAGCAGGGGAUCUUCGGACCUUGCGCUAAUAGAUGAGCCUAAGUCGGAUUGGCUAGUUGGUGGGGUAAGGGCCUACCAAGGCGACGAUCUGUAGCGGGUCUGAGAGGAUGAUCCGCCACACUGGGACUGAGACACGGCCCAGACUCCUACGGGAGGCAGCAGUGGGGAAUAUUGGACAAUGGGGGGAACCCUGAUCCAGCCAUGCCGCGUGUGUGAAGAAGGCCUUAUGGUUGUAAAGCACUUUAAGCGAGGAGGAGGCUACUGAGACUAAUACUCUUGGAUAGUGGACGUUACUCGCAGAAUAAGCACCGGCUAACUCUGUGCCAGCAGCCGCCGUAACAC
rnacentral:rRNA from 1 species